GACGUAGGGCGCGAGCGUUGUCCGGAUUUAUUGGGCGUAAAGAGCGUGUAGGCGGCCAUGUAGGUCCGGUGUGAAAACUCGAGGCUUAACCUCGAGAUGUCAUCGGAAACCAUUUGGCUAGAGUCCGGAAGAGGAGAGUGGAAUUCCUGGUGUAGCGGUGAAAUGCGCAGAUAUCAGGAAGAACACCAAUGGCGAAAGCAGCUCUCUGGGACGGUACUGACGCUGAGACGCGAAAGCGUGGGGAGCGAACAGG
rnacentral:rRNA from 1 species